UGUGAAGGCUGCCUUUGGCUGUGGCUUCUUGCUGGUCAUCAGGGUGAUUGCACCCAAGUCAGGGUUUUGCAACACCCCAGAGCGCUGCCAGUUAUCGCAAAGGGGUGUCAUAAGAUUCUCAGCAAGCAAUCUCUAAAACAAAUACAUGCCAUUUGGCUCUUCCCCCCACCCCACCCCCCUACCCCCAGGACAUCAGAAUAGGUUGGGGAAAGAUAUCUCCCCCAAGACAUACUCAAGGGCCAUCUCUGCUUUAGUCAAGGACCAAGCCCUGUUACUUGAAGAAAAUGUGCAAAAAUGUUUAUAGUUUUGAAAAAGAGCAAGAGUCCCCAGUUGUAAGAACAUACCGGUGUGUGGCAAAUGAUUAGUCCUGUAACCAAAUAUUGUGAGAAUUAAUGUGCUAGACCCCUGUUCCCAAAUGUGCCUCCCCCAUUCCUGGGAGGCAGCAGAGCCAUGCCCAAGUACUCUGCCUCCUUCCUCGCCGCUCCUAUUGUUUUGCUGUUUCGGUCUUUGAGAUUAUUCUCUCUCUCUCUCUCUCUCUCUCUCUCUCUCUCUCUCUCUCUCUCUCUCGUAAUUUUAUUGUAAGUUUUUAACAAACAAUGUAGUCAUCUUGUUCAACCAUCACAAUAUAGAAAAUGUAGAUAACAGAAAGUGACUUCCAUCCCGAGGUUCAAUUCCUCAACAAGUAACUGCUAUCGGAUCUUAUUAAUCUUUCCAAUAACAUUUUAUUGAGAGAUAACUCAGGAUGUAAAAGCAUACUCUUUUUGCCUUUGUUUUCCACAUGACUGUAUCUCAGCCUGUGCUUUUAAGUUUUAACAUAACUAUAUGACCUUAACUUAUGACCCUUCUAGAUGAACACACAAAAGAUACCCAUUUUUAGUAUGAAUGGACAUAAAACUAGUCAUCUACAAGUGGACACCUGAUUUCCUGUCUUUAUCCAUAGAUGAUGUUGCAGUGUAUAAUUAAUACCCUAGUCCUUUCAUUCUUUUGCAGAUGUAUUUGUUUCUAUGAACAGAAUUGUUAUAAAUAAGGCAUACAUACACUUGUACGUUUAGAAGUCAUUGCUCCAUUUUUCUCCCCAGACAAUAUGUCUGUUUCCAACCUCACUAUCACUUUUGGUGGCCAGCUGGGGGUUGCAAGCCAGUGGCCUGAUGCCUCUGGGAAGCCAUCCUAAUGGCUAGGCCUCCGGGAAUUAGCAUUGCCUGUUCUGUAGAGGUCGUCCAACUCUGGAUAGACACAUACAUUGCCCAGAGAGAGCGUUGCUCAGGCCCAGUCCCCCAUGACCUUUGUUUUAUGCCCUUGGAGGCAAUCAUAGUGAGUGUGGGCCCCUAAGAUGCUGAUGGUGGACCCCCAAGUUAGAAGCCCCAAGGAUGUGUCUGGAAGAAUAGCAAUCUGUGGUGAGCAGAGGCAGCAGCCACUUGGUGGACAGAAGUUCUUAAAGUAGGAAGUUUUGUCCUGGAGAGAAGGCAGAAGCUGUGGUUCCAUGGACAUUGACACGGGGUGCUUGUAUAUGUAUUUACACGACACGGCAGUAAGAAACCCACGAAGGCUUAUGUGACUGUGGCCCGGUACCUUGUCUAAGACCACGUAUGUUAAAGGUGAGUGUGUAUAGUACAUAUAUGUGUGUUUUCUAUUUUUUGGUGCUUGGGCUUGAACCAAAGCAUACUGAAGUGACUUAUGAAUAACAGCUAGGACUCUAGUCACAAGGCUCUGGGUCUCAUCAAGUAUUUCAUAAACUGGACAGGGCAACACAGGUUCCAAGAUCCCAGCAACCAAGAGCUAAAAGUAACAGACCUGAAGCUUAGAAUAUUCUUGACAAGACACCAUGUUUGAUGCUGGUCUGGGAUACUUGAGGCUCAGUAUUUAAAAAAAUCUGGGGGUGGGGGGAGAACACUUUAAAUGGGUUUCCCUUCUCCUUUCUAAUGGUGCUGGCGAUUUAUGCAUGCUGGGCGAGGCUUCUACCGCUAGGUUAGCCCCAGCUCUUGUUUUGCCCUUUUGUUUUACACAGGUCUCACUAAGUGACCAAGGUUUGGCCUUGGAAUCACUUUGCAACCUAGGCAGGGCUUGAGUUUAUCAUCUUCCUGAGGAGAUUUCAUUAGUAGCUGAGAUUACAGGGUACCACACUCGCCUCUCAAACAGUCAUUAAAGAUCAAAUCCACUAGCAACACCUUAUAUAGUUAUAUACUGAGGUCCAGGGAAGAAAGCCAGGCACGUUCACAAGUGGCAAAAGCUAAUUCCUAACAGGUAUUAGCACACAGACAGAGGAGGCAUGGGCUCUUUUGCCAGCAUGUGUCCUCAUUCCCAGCCAAACUGUGCCAGCAAUACCUCUGUUCUGUCCUGGUUGGGACAACAAUGGGCCACGGUCUCCCUGAAGUCAGGGAAGUCAACCAAAGCUGCAAAGAAGCCCUAAUGGAAGACAUUUUGUUUCCUUUAACACAUGGCAAAGCUAACUCUACACACAUCUGCAUAAAGGUGAGAGGUUCUAAUUUCAGGGGACAUAAGAUUCAUGUCUAAGGGAUAGGUUGGGACAAGGGCUUUCAACAAGAAAUGGGUUGACAGAGCAUUCUACUAGUGCCUUAUGUUUUAUUUCUAAUUUGACUUAAAUUUGCACGCUGGGGGUGGAACCCAGGGCCUCGUGAGCAUGCUAAAGCGGGAAGCCUACUGCCCAGCUACACCUCAGCCCUGGUUCUUCCUUUUCAGGUCUUGAUCAUCCAUGGAAGAAGGGAUCAAGAAUUGGUCUUCUAGGGCGAGAGAGAGAGAGAGAGAGAGAGAGAGAGAGAGAGUUAGUUAGUUAGUUCAGAGGUUAAAGGCACUUGUUCCUCUUCCAAGGGACAUGAGUUCAGUUCCCAGCACCCACACCAGUUAACUCACAGCUACAAGUGAUUUCAUUGCCAGGGGAUCCAUCUGGCCUCCACAUAUAGACACACACACACACACACACACACACACACACAAUAGACAUACAAAUAAUAAAAUAAAAAUGAGCUGGUCCUUCAAUUCCUAAGUGGGAAGAAAAAUCCUCGCUUUCAUCUCUAAAGAAUCACUAAGCGCAGUGACUGUCAGAGACGCUCUUCCUAAGGCCAGGGGAAGGUCACAGCCAUGGCUAAAUCCCAGGCAGGAAUUUUUAGGUCUUUGUCCAAUAAGCAGCCUCUCCUCAAAGGCAAGAGGGAAGCCAGCCAGCGUGGAAAAGAGCGCACAGAGGGAUCCUGUCUCCGGCAGAGAAAUGUUUGAUCACCCUUUUAGCUAUGGCUUGGCUGGUGGGAAGUGGAGACAGCGGGGGACAGGGCAGAUCAGUCAUGCCGUUUGGGUCCCUUGUCCAGACUCUCCUUCUUCCAUAGGAGGGAAGACUCAAACAAGGCCAGAACCUCUCUGGUGAAAAAGAAGCUGGAACCACGGAAGGAAGUAGUUUGGCUAUACUGCUCUGAUUAGACUGCAUCUCCCUCCUUUUCCCAUGGAGCCUGUGUUAGGGAAAGGAGAUGAGCUGAGAUCAGAGGGGCAAAGGGCAACAUAAUGAGGAAGGUCUCUCCUCCAGGAUGGAGAAGGAAGAGAUAACAAGCCAUUGGAAUCUGUUUCAUGCGGUGGCAAUGUUAAGAUUUGGGGACAAGACGAAGCCAUUGUUCUAAGGAACCCAAAGAGGGCUGAUGACAUUCUUUGGAUGGCCAUACGUUUAGCAGAGGAGGGAGGAAGAGAUGAAGAUGAAGAGGAGGAGGAGGAGGAGGAGGAGGAGAAGAAGAAGAAGAAGAAGAAGAAGAAGAAGAAGAAGAAGAAGAAGAGAGAGAACAGUAACAGUAACUAGGAAUGGUAUAGACUUUUGAAACCUCAAAGUCCUCUCCCAAGUGACACACCUCUUUCAACAAUGCCACACCUCCUAAUCCUUCCCAAACAGUCCCAUCAAGUGAGGACCAAGUAUUUAAAUAUAUGAGCCUAUGGGAGCCAUUCUCAUACCAAUUUGGGCCUCCCUUAGCUGAGUUACAUAAUAGUGACACAUAAAAUUAGUCAUCACAAUAAGCAGUCUUUUAUAGCUUUUGUGUGUUGAAGCUUAGAGGGGCUACUGACCAGUCAUAAACCUAAUGGUGUACACUGACCUCCCAGUCUUGGCUUUCAGUUAGGUUCCUUCCUACUAUACUGAGCUUUGGGACCGGAAAAGUAGACUUCAUCUCGGAACACCUGUAUCCACUGAAAUGUUUUUAAAAUCACUAGUAUCCUUCCUUGAAAGAAUGGACAUAGGGGAUGAUCUUCAAGGGGACAAGGACUUGAAUAGGUACCUAUCCAAAGAUGUAUAAAUGACCAGCACCAGUGUGAAGACAUGCUAAGUACCAUGAGUUAUCAGGGAAAGGGAAAUCAAACACAGACUGAGGCCUGACUUUAUGCUUAGUGGGAUGACUAAAA